rnacentral:lncRNA from 1 species
ACAAAUAUAGCCUAUAAGAAUAAAAAUGACCAAAAUAGCACUUAAUGUUUUAUCAAAAGAGAUAAAUAUACACUUAUACUCCAAUGGUAAAUUAAUUUAGACAUUAGGGUUUAGAGUUAAGGGGUGGGGUUUAGGAUUUAGGGUUUAGGGUUUAGGGUUUAGAGUUUAGAGUUUAGGGGUGGGGUUUAGGGUUUAGGGUUUACAGUUAAGGGGUGAGGUUUAGGAUUUAGGGUUUAGGGUUUAGGAUUUAGAGUUUAGGAUUUAGGGUUUAGGUUUUAGGGUUUAGAGUUGGGGAGUGGGGUUUUGGGAUAAGAUUUUAAAUUUUGAAAAAUAAAAUAAAAUUAAAUUUUUCAAAAGAUAAAAUGAUGUUAUUUUGGUCAUUUUAGUUUUUGAGGGCUAUUUUUGUGACAUAAACUUAAAAAUGUGCUAUUUUGGAGAUUU